rnacentral:rRNA from 1 species
UGAGGAAUAUUGGUCAAUGGACGAGAGUCUGAACCAGCCAAGUAGCGUGAAGGAUGACUGCCCUAUGGGUUGUAAACUUCUUUUAUACGGGAAUAAAGUGAGGCACGUGUGCCUUUUUGUAUGUACCGUAUGAAUAAGGAUCGGCUAACUCCGUGCCAGCAGCCGCGGUAAUACGGAGGAUCCGAGCGUUAUCCGGAUUUAUUGGGUUUAAAGGGAGCGUAGGCGGACGCUUAAGUCAGUUGUGAAAGUUUGCGGCUCAACCGUAAAAUUGCAGUUGAUACUGGGUGUCUUGAGUACAGUAGAGGCAGGCGGAAUUCGUGGUGUAGCGGUGAAAUGCUUAGAUAUCACGAAGAACUCCGAUUGCGAAGGCAGCUUGCUGGAUUGUAACUGACGCUGAUGCUCGAAAGUGUGGGUAUCAAACAGGAUUAGAUACCCUGGUAGUCCACACAGUAAACGAUGAAUACUCGCUGUUUGCGAUAUACAGUAAGCGGCCAAGCGAAAGCGUUAAGUAUUCCACCUGGGGAGUACGCCGGCAACGGUGAAACUCAAAGGAAUUGACGGGGGCCCGCACAAGCGGAGGAACAUGUGGUUUAAUUCGAUGAUACGCGAGGAACCUUACCCGGGCUUGAAUUGCAACUGAAUGAUGUGGAGACAUGUCAGCCGCAAGGCAGUUGUGAAGGUGCUGCAUGGUUGUCGUCAGCUCGUGCCGUGAGGUGUCGGCUUAAGUGCCAUAACGAGCGCAACCCUUAUCGAUAGUUACCAUCAGGUUAUGCUGGGGACUCUGUCGAGACUGCCGUCGUAAGAUGUGAGGAAGGUGGGGAUGACGUCAAAUCAGCACGGCCCUUACGUCCGGGGCUACACACGUGUUACAAUGGGGGGUACAGAAGGCAGCUACACGGCGACGUGAUGCUAAUCCCGAAAGCCUCUCUCAGUUCGGAUUGGAGUCUGCAACCCGACUCCAUGAAGCUGGAUUCGCUAGUAAUCGCGCAUCAGCCACGGCGCGGUGAAUACGUUCCC